AACAAGCUAGAUACAAUGCAAAGUUUCAUCAAAGGAAAAGCAAGCACUCCAUCAUAGCAAGCUAGCUUCCAUGAAGUGAAUGAAAUCUACAAAAUGGUAAAUAAGAAAGUUAGAAAUAGGUGACUAGAACAAGAAGAAGACUAGAACAAGAAGUAUAUGUCAUUUAUGAGCUAACUUAGGUGAAAUGGAUCAUAUAUGAGCUAACUAAGUUGAAAUGGGUUGUUUAUGAUCUAACUUAGUUGAAAUGGAUCAUUUAUGAGCUAACUUAGUUGAAAUGGGUCGUUUAUGAGCUAACUAAGGUGAAGGGCAUCGUUUUUGAGCUAAGUAAGGUGAAAUGGGUCAUUUUGGAGCUAACUUAGGUGAAAUGGGUCAUUUUGGAGCUAAUCUAGGUGAAAUGGGUCAUUUUGGAGCUAACCUAGGUGAAAUGGGUCAUUUUAAAGCUAACGUAGGUAAAAUGGAUCAUUUAGGAGCUCAUCUACGUAAAAUGGGUCAUUUUAGAGCUAAUUUAGUUGAAAUGGAUCUUUUUGAGCUAACUUAGGUGAAAUGGAUCAUUUAAGAGCUAAUUUAGGUGAAAUGGAUCGUUUUUUAGCUCACUUAGGUCAAAUGGAUCGUUUAUGAGCUAAAUUAGUUGAAAUGGAUCGUUUAUGAGAUAACCUAGGUAAGAUGGGUCAUUUUGGAGUUAACCUAGGUGAAAUGGGCCAUUUUAAAGCUAACGUAGGUAAAAUGGAUCAUUUAGGAGCUAAUCUAGGUAAAAUGGGUCAUUUUUGAGCUAACUUGGAUGAACUGCAUCAUUUAUAAGCUAACCUAGGUAAAAUGGGUCAUUUUGGAGGAAAAUAAGCUAACUCUAGGUCAUUAUGGUAAGCAUAUUGGAGGAAAUAAAGCUAAGUCUAGGUCUUUAUGCAUUUGUUAAGCAAGACACUAGAGAAACUUACCGUGAUCAGGGAGGUGUAGGAGCGGGGUGGCUAGUGCCGCUACCUGGCGAAGGAUCGUGCGAUGCGUUUCUGGAGUUAAGCUGCACCAAAGAUCAUUUCCAAUGUCUCGUUAGCAUUACGACACACAAAUGUUAAGACUACCAAGUAAUGUCCAUUCAAACUAAACUCACCGUGCUCCCAGGAGCAAUCACUCGCAUCGGUGGAGCGGGCUGACUGGACUUCUCGCACACAGACUGCACAUUUGGUUUUCAGAACAGAGUCAUACUAGUUAGUAAUGAGACUCAAAUGUUAAGACUAGCAAGUAAUCUGCAGAAGAAACUUACCACAAGGAGC
rnacentral:lncRNA from 1 species